AGAGUUUGAUCCUGGCUCAGGAUGAACGCUGGCGGCGUGCCUAAUACAUGCAAGUCGAGCGAACGGACGAGAAGCUUGCUUCUCUGAUGUUAGCGGCGGACGGGUGAGUAACACGUGGAUAACCUACCUAUAAGACUGGGAUAACUUCGGGAAACCGGAGCUAAUACCGGAUAAUAUUUUGAACCGCAUGGUUCAAAAGUGAAAGACGGUCUUGCUGUCACUUAUAGAUGGAUCCGCGCUGCAUUAGCUAGUUGGUAAGGUAACGGCUUACCAAGGCAACGAUGCAUAGCCGACCUGAGAGGGUGAUCGGCCACACUGGAACUGAGACACGGUCCAGACUCCUACGGGAGGCAGCAGUAGGGAAUCUUCCGCAAUGGGCGAAAGCCUGACGGAGCAACGCCGCGUGAGUGAUGAAGGUCUUCGGAUCGUAAAACUCUGUUAUUAGGGAAGAACAUAUGUGUAAGUAACUGUGCACAUCUUGACGGUACCUAAUCAGAAAGCCACGGCUAACUACGUGCCAGCAGCCGCGGUAAUACGUAGGUGGCAAGCGUUAUCCGGAAUUAUUGGGCGUAAAGCGCGCGUAGGCGGUUUUUUAAGUCUGAUGUGAAAGCCCACGGCUCAACCGUGGAGGGUCAUUGGAAACUGGAAAACUUGAGUGCAGAAGAGGAAAGUGGAAUUCCAUGUGUAGCGGUGAAAUGCGCAGAGAUAUGGAGGAACACCAGUGGCGAAGGCGACUUUCUGGUCUGUAACUGACGCUGAUGUGCGAAAGCGUGGGGAUCAAACAGGAUUAGAUACCCUGGUAGUCCACGCCGUAAACGAUGAGUGCUAAGUGUUAGGGGGUUUCCGCCCCUUAGUGCUGCAGCUAACGCAUUAAGCACUCCGCCUGGGGAGUACGACCGCAAGGUUGAAACUCAAAGGAAUUGACGGGGACCCGCACAAGCGGUGGAGCAUGUGGUUUAAUUCGAAGCAACGCGAAGAACCUUACCAAAUCUUGACAUCCUUUGACAACUCUAGAGAUAGAGCCUUCCCCUUCGGGGGACAAAGUGACAGGUGGUGCAUGGUUGUCGUCAGCUCGUGUCGUGAGAUGUUGGGUUAAGUCCCGCAACGAGCGCAACCCUUAAGCUUAGUUGCCAUCAUUAAGUUGGGCACUCUAAGUUGACUGCCGGUGACAAACCGGAGGAAGGUGGGGAUGACGUCAAAUCAUCAUGCCCCUUAUGAUUUGGGCUACACACGUGCUACAAUGGACAAUACAAAGGGCAGCGAAACCGCGAGGUCAAGCAAAUCCCAUAAAGUUGUUCUCAGUUCGGAUUGUAGUCUGCAACUCGACUACAUGAAGCUGGAAUCGCUAGUAAUCGUAGAUCAGCAUGCUACGGUGAAUACGUUCCCGGGUCUUGUACACACCGCCCGUCACACCACGAGAGUUUGUAACACCCGAAGCCGGUGGAGUAACCUUUUAGGAGCUAGCCGUCGAAGGUGGGACAAAUGAUUGGGGUGAAGUCGUAACAAGGUAGCCGUAUCGGAAGGGGCGGCUGGAUCACCU
rnacentral:rRNA from 3 species